CCUGCUCAACAUCCAUCGUCCGGUGAGUGUGGAGCAGGAGCGCUGCCAUCAGCUCAGGGGGGCUCCCACAUUUCUGCUGCCCGAGUGGUCCUUUCUGCCACCAGCAUGCCUGUUCUUGAUCGAGAGCAGCCCAAAGGCCCCAGUGACAGCCAUGGUCUUCCAUUGCCGCACUCGAAAGAUCACAACAUCUAACCAGAAUUUUAAUGCUUAGAGCAAACUUUUCCAC
rnacentral:lncRNA from 1 species